UACGUAGGGGGCAAGCGUUGUCCGGAUUUAUUGGGCGUAAAGAGCGUGUAGGCGGCUUUACAGGUCCGUUGUGAAAACUCGAGGCUCAACCUCGAGACGCCGGUGGAAACCGUAAGGCUAGAGUCCGGAAGAGGAGAGUGGAAUUCCUGGUGUAGCGGUGAAAUGCGCAGAUAUCAGGAAGAACACCAAUGGCGAAAGCAGCUUUCUGGGACGGUACUGACGCUGAGACGCGAAAGCGUGGGGAGCGAACAGG
rnacentral:rRNA from 1 species